rnacentral:lncRNA from 1 species
ACAGAAACAGCUCACAUUGUGUACAAGUUGAUAUAAUUGACUGAUUUCAUGGGAAACGCCCACUGCCAUGACAUCACAAAAUGGUGUCUGUACGACGGAAAACAAAUCACAUGUGGUCACGUGUUUGAGUGUUCUACCAUGAUGUCUCUUCAAAAUCUAAAUAAAUUUACAAUCAAAAUAGGCUUUGAUUAUUUUAAACACCAUUCAAAUAACACAAGAAGAUCAAAAGAACGUGUUUUCUCCUAUUUUUGUGCAAGUUAUAUACUCCAUAUUUCGGUUAAACAACUGCUCUAUUUUCUAU